GGAGCCCCUGGCUCAGUGGUUGAACAUCUGUUUUGCAUGCAGAGAGUGCUAGGUUCAAUCCCAGCUUUCUCCA
rnacentral:tRNA from 1 species